rnacentral:rRNA from 1 species
UACAGAGGUCCCAAGCGUUGUUCGGAAUUACUGGGCGUAAAGGGUGCGCAGGCCGCGCGGGCAGUCAAAUGUGUAAUUCAGGGGCUCAACCCCUGCACUGCGCUUGAUACUUCCGCGCUAGAACUUUGGAGAGGAGUCUGGAAUUCUCGGUGUAGCAGUGAAAUGCGUGGAUAUCGAGAAGAACACUUAGGGCGUAGGCAAGACUCUGGACAAAUGCUGACGCUCAUGCACGAAGGCUAGGGUAGCGAACGGG